GCCUGGGUGGCUCAGUUGGUUGAGCAUCUGACUCUUAUUUUGGCUCAGGUCAUGAUCUCAUGACUUGUGAGUUUGAGCCCCACAUCAGGCU
rnacentral:tRNA from 1 species